AGGGCACACGGCGGAUGCCUUGGCACCAGGAGACGAUGAAGGACGCGGAAACCUGCGAAAAUCCACGGGGAGCUGGACUCGAGCUUUGAUCCGUGGGUGUCCGAAUGGGGGCAACCCGGUGGGCGUCAUGGCCCAUCAUCGUACGCUGAAUACAUAGGCGUGCGAAGUCAACGCGGGGAACUGAAACAUCUAAGUACCCCGUAGGAAAGGAAAUCAACUGAGACUCCGUGAGUAGUGGCGAGCGAAAGCGGACUAGCCCAAACCGUUGGGGUAACGUCAACGGGGUUGUGGGGCUCCGACAUGGGAUCUGGAGGACUAGCAGAACGGCUUGGGAAGGCCGGCCAGAGCGGGUGACAGCCCCCGUAUGCGAAAGUCCGAGAGACCCUAGGAGAACCCCGACGUAGGGCGGGGGCACGUGGAACCCUGUCCGAAGCUGGGAGGACCAUCUUCCAAGGCUAAGUACU
rnacentral:rRNA from 1 species